UACAUGGGGGGUGCAAACGUUGCUCGGGAAUUAUUUGGGCGAAAAGCGCGCGUAGGCGGUUAUCUAAGUCGGGAUGUGAAAGCCCUCGGCUUAACUGAGGAAGUGCACCCGAAACUGGAUAGCUAGAGUACGAAAGAGGGUCGCGGAAUUCCCGGUGUAGAGGUGAAAUUCGUAGAUAUCGGGAGGAACACCGGGUGGCGAAGGCGGCUCUCU
rnacentral:rRNA from 1 species